UGCCACUCAAAAACGUCAUCAGCAACAUCAUCAUCUCUCUCUCUCUCUCUCAAAAUCUCGAUAGAGACCCAAUUAAAAUCUAUCUCUCUGUAAAAUAUUUUAUAGUAAUUAUCGUGUUUGUGCAUUGAAUUUAGCAAAAACUGCUUUACUUUAUUAUUUUUCCGGCAAAAAAACCCUUAUUGGGUUCAUUUCUUUGCGCCUUUUCUUCCUCUGGGUUCAUCUCUAUCUCUCAUAUAGGACUCUGUGUCUUCUUCUCUAACCCAACAAAAAUAGAGAGAAGGGUUUCAGAACUUGAGACCGAAUUGCUUGUUUGGUUGAUUUGAGGUUCAAAGUCUUGUGUUUUUAUCAAGUUUGAUGGGUGAAUUGGAAGAGAUUGGAGCUGAUAUUUGCGCGGACCUUGAAGCUGAUGAUAUAAGGUGUGACACUAUCGCGGAGAAAGAUGUCACUGAUGAAGAAAUUGAAGCAGAAGAUUUGGAGAGGCGAAUGUGGAAGGAUCGUAUCAAACUCAAAAGGCUUAAAGAAAAACAGAAGCUUGCAGCACAACAAGCUGCGGAGAAGCAAAAGCCCAAGCAGACGUCAGAUCAAGCUCGGAGGAAGAAAAUGUCGAGAGCCCAGGAUGGAAUUCUCAAGUAUAUGUUGAAGUUAAUGGAAGUGUGCAAAGCACGUGGAUUUGUGUAUGGAAUCAUUCCAGAGAAGGGUAAGCCAGUAAGUGGUGCAUCUGAUAACAUAAGAGCUUGGUGGAAAGAAAAGGUGAGGUUCGAUAAGAACGGGCCAGCAGCCAUAGCAAAGUAUGAAGCAGAGUGUUUGGCCAUGGGUGAGGCAGAGAACAGUAAAAAUGGGAACUCUCAAAGUGCUCUUCAAGAUCUUCAAGAUGCAACUUUAGGGUCUCUUUUGUCUUCUUUGAUGCAACACUGUGAUCCCCCCCAAAGGAAGUACCCAUUGGAGAAGGGAGUUCCACCACCUUGGUGGCCAACGGGAAAUGAAGAUUGGUGGGUAAAAUUAGGACUAUCCCAAGGCCAGAGCCCUCCUUAUAAGAAACCACAUGAUUUGAAGAAGAUGUGGAAAGUUGGGGUAUUAACAGCUGUAAUAAAGCACAUGUCACCUGAUAUUCCAAAAAUUAGAAGGCAUGUGCGUCAAUCAAAAUGCUUACAGGAUAAGAUGACCGCAAAGGAGAGUGCAAUUUGGUUAGGGGUGUUGAGUCAAGAGGAAUCUCUCAUUCGGCAACCUAGCAGUGACAAUGGAACAUCUGGUGUAACUGAAACUCCUCAAGGCGGACAUGGCCAAAAGAAGAAACGUGCCAUUAGUAGUGAUAGUGAUUAUGAUGUUGAUGGUGCUGAUGAUGGUGUGGGUUCAGUUUCAUCUAAAGAUAAUAGGAGAAAUCAAUCAAUGGAUGUGGAGCCAUUAAACAGUCGAGAUGAUGCUACCAAUCCUGUCCAAGAUAAGGAGCUAGGGAAAAAGCAACCAAGGAGAAAAAGGCCCCGUGUGAGGUCAAGCCAUGCUGAUCAACAUCCUCAACCACAGCUGAAUGAUGAUCAUUUGGGUGUUGAGAGGACAAGUACUUUGCCUGAUAUAAAUCACACUGAUUUACAGCCAGUUGACUAUCAGAUGCAUGACACUCAGCAUGAAAAUUUUACAUCUUCAACUGUAAGGCCUCUGGAGAAUGGUUUUGUGGGUGAAUCCAACCUACCCCAAUCUGACUUUAACUACUAUGCUGGUGUUCCUUCUGCCAAUGUCAAUUCUACGGAGAAAAUUUAUGCAGACAAAGGGCCUGCCUUUUAUCCAUUGGGCCAAAAUUCAGUGCUGCACCAUGAGACUACUUAUAGUAAUUUCUAUAAUCCAUCACUUGAUUAUGGGACAAAUCAUGAUAGGCAGCCUUCUCAGAUGACAAUGAGCAUCAGGCAAGAGGAUGACAGAUUCCAUAUACCAGCACCGCAAGGAAAUGGAAAUGACUUGACUGGAGGAGAACCACAUCAUCUUAUCAAAGAUACAUUUCCCACUGAGCAAGAUGGAGCUGUUGAUAGGCAAUUUGAAUUUGACUUGCCAGAUUUUGCAAUUAACAGCCCAUUCCUUGAAAUGAGUUCGUUUUCAUUGGAUGACUUAUUUGUUGAUCCUGAGGAUGAAUUGAUCCAAUGCUUUGGUGCAUAGUUUCAGAAAGCUGACACAGCUGAUACUUUCAGAUUGGACAGGUGAAAAGCUCAAAACUGCAGCGCAACCAUUUCUGACCUGGUUAAAGGACUUCCUCAAUCAAUUAGAGGUGCUGCCUUAACAGUUGUUAUUGUUUGUGCAUUUCAAGGCAGUGGUACCUGGUCGUCUGGUUUCCUCCAGUUUUGACCUGGAUGAUCAGUGGACACAUCAUAUUGUCCUUCAGUGAGUCCCCAUUUACUUUAUGUAUCCCUCUGCCUCUGCAAUGGACACCAAAGUCUGGUUCUUACUCUCAGAGUAUUUAGUUCAGGCACACUUGUUAAGCUGAACAUAGGUAGCUGGACAUGAGUCCAGGGUUGUAAUUGCAUGGAUGAACCUUUUCAAUAAUCUAUGAACUAAUGCAUUUACGAUUAUUUUUUAAAA